GAUCACAAAAGCCAAGUAAAACCCAGCCUCUAGAACAAGAAGAAGAAACCCAGUCAUUUUAGCACCAUUUUUAGAGAAUUUAGUAGAAGUUUGGAAGGUUUGGGAGCUAGAACUAAAGGGCCUCUGUUCAGCGUGUAAUUUUCCAUUCAAGUCGACCAACACACUUGAAUUCAGAAAGAAGGCAAGACUAGCAUAGAAUAUAUGUAUGUAUAUGUGUAUGUGUAUUAUAUGCAUGUUGAUUAUGUAAUUUAUAUGCUACCAACGCUAGUACGGUACCGAUACUGAGUGAAUUGGUACAGUAUAUGAUGUUCAAAGGAUACGAUCUAGUGUAACCAACACUAGUACUGUAAUGUCCUAAUCUAUAAGAUCGCCACGUGUGUGAUUUUAUAAAACUAGUUUAAUACUAAUAUAUUAAUUAAUUAUUACAAA